rnacentral:lncRNA from 1 species
CAAACCCAAUAACCUGUACGGCCCAACAACCAUUUUUUCGAACCCUAGCCCAGCAAAAUUAGUUUGCUGAAACCCUAAACCAGCCUCCCCUAUACGCAGCCGCCUCUACCGCAGCAGCCAGAGUCCCUCUCCGCGCAAAUCGCGCCUCCACGUGCGCCUCGUCUUGCACAUGCAGCAAUAAACAGGAACAAGGCACCAACGACAAGGAAAAAAUAACAAAAAAGAAGGGAUUUUCUGUUUUGAUUUUUAUUUUUUUUGUUACUUUCGGCUAUUUAAAAGCCGAUUAAAAUUUGUAAAGAGGGGAGGAUAGAAAGAAAAAAAAGAAAUACAGAGAAAUACAAAAGGAAAAAUAUUGAAAAUACAAAGUUUUGUUUAAAGGUGAUUUGCGUUUUAUUUACUUAGCCUAUUUUAUUUUUUUUUCUUUUAUCAAAAACAAAGGAAAGAAACUUACCCUCGGAGCCCAUCGCGUCGCAUCUCCGAUCGGUGAAAGUGCGGCGGAGACCAGUUGCGGCGGCGGUGCAGAGAGGGGCCAAAAACAAAACCCUAACAGAGGGUGUUUUUCUUUUUUUCUUUUUUUUU